rnacentral:rRNA from 2 species
CUUUGUAUUGUAGCUAACGCGUUAAGCACUCCGCCUGGGGACUACGGUCGCAAGACUAAAACUCAAAGGAAUUGACGGGGACCCGCACAAGCGGUGGAGCAUGUGGUUUAAUUCGAUGCUACGCGAAAAACCUUACCACUUUUUGACAUGAAGGUCGUAUCCCUCCUAACAGGGGGAGUCAGUUCGGCUGGACCUUACACAGGUGCUGCAUGGUUGUCGUCAGCUCGUGUCGUGAGAUGUUGGGUUAAGUCCCGCAACGAGCGCAACCCUCAUCCUUAGUUACCAACAGGUAAUGCUGGGCACUCUAAGGAAACUGCCAGUGAUAAACUGGAGGAAGGUGGGGAUGAUGUCAAAUCAGCACGGCCCUUAUAAGGUGGGCUACACACGUGCUACAAUGGCAACUACAAUAGGUUGCGAGACCGCAAGGUUUAGCUAAUCCAUAAAAGUUGUCUCAGUUCGGAUUGUUCUCUGCAACUCGAGAGCAUGAAGUCGGAAUCGCUAGUAAUCGUGGAUCAUCACGCCACGGUGAAUACGUUCUCGGGUCUUGUACACACUGCCCGUCACGCCAUGGGAAUUGGCUUAACUCGAAGCUGGUGUGC